rnacentral:rRNA from 1 species
AAAAAAGAGGGCGGCAAUGCGAGACCUAAUGCUAUGAUGAGAGAUUUUGGUAAUUGUUUAGCAGAGUGCGGCCUCGAGGAUAUGGGAUGUAUUGGCGAUCCUUUUACUCGGAGGAGAGGCGAUACUAGGGAGAGACUUGACCGUCCGGUUUGCAAUCUGGAAGGGGCGAACAAAUUCCCGAGGGCUGCUAUCAUUAAUGAGGAACGUGUUUAUUCCGAUCACCGCCCACUUGUCCUAGAUAUGGAAUAUUUUGAUGGCAAUAUUUUUAAUACCCAAAUGGGACGAGUGGAUAAGUUCGAAGCUAGAUGGAUCAAAGAUGAGAUGGCCAUAUAA